rnacentral:rRNA from 1 species
AAAUCAGUUAUCGUUUAUUUGAUAGUACCUUACUACUUGGAUAACCGUGGUAAUUCUAGAGCUAAUACAUGCUAAAAAUCCCAACUCACGAAGGGAUGUAUUUAUUAGAUUAAAAACCAAUGCCCUUCGGGGCUCUUUGGUGAUUCAUAAUAACUUUUCGAAUCGCAUGGCCUUGCGCCGGCGAUGGUUCAUUCAAAUUUCUGCCCUAUCAACUUUCGAUGGCAGGGUCUUGGCCUGCCAUGGUGACAACGGGUAACGGAGGGUUAGGGCUCGACCCCGGAGAAGGAGCCUGAGAAACGGCUACUACAUCCAAGGAAGGCAGCAGGCGCGCAAAUUACCCAAUCCCGACUCGGGGAGGUAGUGACAAUAAAUACUGAUACAGGGCUCUUUUGGGUCUUGUAAUUGGAAUGAGUACAAUUUAAAUCCCUUAACGAGGAACAAUUGGAGGGCAAGUCUGGUGCCAGCAGCCGCGGUAAUUCCAGCUCCAAUAGCGUAUAUUAAAGUUGUUGCAGUUAAAAAGCUCGUAGUUGAACCUUGGGCCUGGCUGGCCGGUCCGCCUCACCGCGUGCACUGGUUCGGCCGGGCCUUUCCCUCUGGGGAACCGCAUGCCCUUCACUGGGUGUGUCGGGGAACCAGGACUUUUACUGUGAAAAAAUUAGAGUGUUCAAAGCAGGCCUAUGCUCGAAUACAUUAGCAUGGAAUAAUAGAAUAGGACGUGUGGUUCUAUUUUGUUGGUUUCUAGGACCGCCGUAAUGAUUAAUAGGGACAGUCGGGGGCGUCAGUAUUCAAUUGUCAGAGGUGAAAUUCUUGGAUUUAUUGAAGACUAACUACUGCGAAAGCAUUCGCCAAGGAUGUUU